ACACACACACACACACACACACACACACACACACACACACACCACUCUCAGGGGCCCCCUGGUAGUCACACGGCUCCAUAAUAUAACUGGCAAAAAUGUAAGAAUUUCAUGCAUCGGCCUACAGUGGGAAAAUUGUGUAAUCUGUUGGAAUAGAGUAGAAAUAUAAAAUAUCACUACUUGUCUUCUAAAUGAAAUGCUAUCAUUACAAAAUGCAUGUUUUUAUACUGCAAUGGCAGUGAGAUCAAAAAAUGUGGUCUGAAUGGAAGUCAAUGAGGCAUUUUUGAGAGAAAUUAAAUAAUUUAAAUAAUGAAACAGGCAUUUAAAGGGUUAAAAUCCUGAAAAUGAUUGAAUGUUUGGUAGUUUUGAGUACGUUAGAAGUUGUUUAUGUGAUUCAUGAACAAAAAAGUAGAAAAAGAUAUUGAUGUAUGAUGAUUUAAUAGCAGUUGUUUGGGGCGUGUACAUUUUUGCCACGAAGGUGUCCAGAGGUAGUAUCUGACACUACGUAAAAAAUAAUAAUGCAGUGAAAUCAAUUUUGUUGCUAAUCUUUGACACAUCCAAGACUCUAAUAACCACCAAAGUUCCAUCCCUCUACUAAUUAUUAUAUUUUUAAAAAAAAUCAUUUUUUGUGUUUUCUUUUCAGAAUAAUGAAUAAUUCAAAUAAUGAAACAGGCCUUUAAAGGGUUAAAAUUCUGAAAAGGAUUGAAUGUUUGGUAGUUUUCAGCACGUUAGAAGUUGUUCAACUGAUUCCUGGAAAAAAAAGUUUAAAAAAAUAUUGAUGUAUGAUGAUUUAAUAGCAGUUAUUAUGAGCGUGUACAUUUUUGCCACGAAGGGGUCCAGAGGGUGCAAAAUGCAUCACGAGAGUAUACAAAACAUGUAAGAGUAAACGACAAUGGAUUUCAAAAA